UUCAGACAACCCUCCAAAAGCUUAGUGAAUCUCUGACGAACUCCUUUUGUCUUCUACUCUUUUACGACUUAUCUUGACGUCUCUCUUUCAUCACAUAUGAUGAAACUGAGCUACACAACACAGCUACACCUUCAAGAUAUCACAUUUUAUAUUCUUGUUUCAAUUCCCUUUCUUCCCAAGUCUGAACCGCCAAACUGACAACCCCUUCUUCCGACUUCCCUAACCCUUUAGGAUGACAAAGUUGGCCGCAUAUCGGCUCAAGCUUCGGCUUACACCUCUGGUAAGAGGUAAACGCUUCUUCUUACUUAUUUUUCCAAAUCUGAGGUAGAUCUAAAGAUGCAAACCGAUGAUCUUUAUUUUAUCAGUAGAACUCAACCUUUUACCUUUUAAAAUCGACUUAUACCUUCUUAUUCGCUGCAAUAUGAGAAUCAUCGAGACAUCUCAUCAGCCGCAUGUUGCAUGCAGGGCCGGCUCAUAAACAUUUUAGGCCCCUGGGC
rnacentral:lncRNA from 1 species